GCGGGAGUAGUUCAGCGGUAGAAUGUCUCCCUUCCAAGGAGAAGGUCGCCGGUUCAAAUCCGGUCUCCCGCUCCA
rnacentral:tRNA from 1 species